rfam:Mesocricetus auratus contig141703, whole genome shotgun sequence.
GGAGAUAUGGCUCAGUGGUUAAGAGCACUGGCUGCUCUUCCAAAGGACCCGAGUUCAAUUCCCAGCACCUUCA